rnacentral:rRNA from 1 species
GGGCUCGUACACGCAGUGGAGUAUGCGCUUUAAUUCGAUACAACGCGAAAAACCUUACCUGCUCUUGACAUGCUUUGCUAAGAAUCCAAAAGAUUCUAUAGGAAAAGCACAGGUGCUGCAUGGCUGUCGACAGUUCGUGUCGUGAGAUGUUUGGUUCAGUCCUGAAACGAGCGAAACCCUCCUCUUACAUGAAUUAAUGCAAGAGACAUUCUGUGACAAGCAGAAGGAAGAAGGAUGACGUCAAGUCUUCAUGGCCCUUAUGAGCCAGGGCUAGACGCGUACUACAAUGAAAAGAACAAAAGAAGCAAAGAUGAGAGUCCCAGCAAAUCUAUAAAACUUUUCGAAGUUGGGAUUGUUCUCUGCAACUCGAGAACAUGAACCUGGAAUU